AGCAUGAUUGAAUUAUGAAAAUAAUAAGUUCAGCAAAAACAAAGCAUGGUCUGGCCUGGUUAGUACUUGGAUGAGGGACUACCUGUGAAUACCAGGUAAGUGAUGUUG
rnacentral:rRNA from 10 species